GUUUAGUUGGGGGUCUUAUUGGAAACAGCGAAGGUGGACAAGGUGUUGUCGGCGGUCUACUUGGAGGAAAUGGAGGAAAUCAAGGUGUAGUUGGGGGUCUUCUUGGAAAUAGCGAAGGUGGACA